GGCUGGUCCUAAGGUAGUGACUUAUCUCACUUGAUUGUUGACAGUUACAGAUUGAACUCUUUGUUCUACUCUUUCCCCCCUUCUCACUACUGUGCUUGACAAGUCCUAA
ensembl:misc_RNA Y_RNA Y RNA